rnacentral:rRNA from 1 species
GACGAACGCUGGCGGCGUGCUUAACACAUGCAAGUCGAACGGAAAGGCCCUGCUUUUGUGGGGUGCUCGAGUGGCGAACGGGUGAGUAACACGUGAGUAACCUGCCCUUGACUUUGGGAUAACUUCAGGAAACUGGGGCUAAUACCGGAUAGGAGCUCCUGCUGCAUGGUGGGGGUUGGAAAGUUUCGGCGGUUGGGGAUGGACUCGCGGCUUAUCAGCUUGUUGGUGGGGUAGUGGCUUACCAAGGGUUUGACGGGUAGCCGGCCUGAGAGGGUGACCGGCCACAUUGGGACUGAGAUACGGCCCAGAAGCGUACGGGACGCAGCAGUCGAGAGUAUUGCACAAUGGGCGGAAGCCUGAUGCAGCAGCGCCGCGUGCGGGAUGACGGCCUUCGAGUUGUAAACCACUUUCGCCGGUGACGAAGCGUUAGUGACGGUAAUGGGUAAAGAAGCACCGGCUAACUACGUG